GAGCGUCGCAUCCCCUCUAACCCCCGGUUAGGCGUUGCUCCGAAAUAUCAACCGCGCUGUCAAAUACG
rnacentral:misc_RNA from 1 species